UACGAAGGGGGCUAGCGUUGUUCGGAAUUACUGGGCGUAAAGCGCACGUAGGCGGAUACUUAAGUCAGGGGUGAAAUCCCGGGGCUCAACCCCGGAACUGCCUUUGAUACUGGGUAUCUCGAGUCCGGAAGAGGUGAGUGGAAUUCCGAGUGUAGAGGUGAAAUUCGUAGAUAUUCGCAAGAACACCAGUGGCGAAGGCGGCUCACUGGCCCGAUACUGACGCUGAGGCACGAAAGCGUGGGGAGCGAACAGG
rnacentral:rRNA from 1 species